GUUUAUAUAGGUUGAUGAAGAUCUUUGAGGUCUUAAAUACGACGGUGUGAAGAGAGACAGACAGAGAGACAAGGAGAGGUAUUAACUGUAGCACACUGUGAAGUAAGAAGAGAAAAAGGACAGAGGGACACAGAGAAAGUGGCAGAGAGAGAGCGAGAGAGAGAGAAAGGGGAAAGAUAUUAUUGUCAUAUAACUGUGAAGAUAGAUAGGUAGAGAGUUUCAGACAGAGAGAGAUAGAGUGACAGACAGACAGACAAAGAGAAAGAGAGACAGACAGAGGAGAUACUAUUAUUGGGUGAAGAAAAUAGUUGUGGAAUUUCCAACAGUUUAUUCAGAGAAUUGGUUCCAAUCAUUCCAAGAGAAUUAAGAAAUGCAUGUGUUCAACGGAAUAUUCCUCUGGCUUCUGCUUGCCUCUUCUUUGUUAAUCUACUGUCAUAGCUACGUAUUUAUUGUGACUGUUCCAAAGUUAUCUCCAACACGUAAAGAACCGCCCUCUUGUACCCUGUAUUUGAAGAAAUGUCACCCAGAUCGAGAUACUUGCUGUCCUGGACUCCAAUGCACCAAUAUUCUCUACAGUUAUUGUCUCUAUCCCUUCGAGACCUGUUACUGUAUGACCAAAUCUUACUACUAUACGGAAAAUAAAUAAUACUGCCAUUCUCACAUUUCAACCAAUCCGUUCCGUUUCUAAUGCCAAGGAUCAAAGCACCUUCCUUCUUCUUCUUCUUCUUCUUCUUUUCUUUCUUCCUUCACCAUGUGAAGCCCAGACUAUUCCUUUCGAGUGUCAUUCCUGUCUGACAUUUCUAGAAAGUCUGCGAAAUAAUGUUGUAAGUUUUGAAAUCAAAUAAAAUGGCUUCGGUUAUCGUUAUUGCAGCA